GGAGAGGUGCCAGAGUGGUCGAUCGGGCUCGCCUGGAAAGUGAGUGUGCCUUCACGGGUACCGAGGGUUCGAAUCCCUCCCUCUCCG
rnacentral:tRNA from 1 species